GUGCUUGCUCCAGUAGCACAUAUGCGAUAAUUGGAACAAUACAGAGAAGAUUAGCAUGGCCCCCGUACAAGGAUGCCAUGCUAAUUUGUGAAGUGCUCCAUAUUUUU
rnacentral:snRNA from 1 species